rnacentral:rRNA from 1 species
AAGGAUUAAGCAUUCAGCUGGGGAGUACGGUCGCAAGAUUAAAACUCAAAGGAAUUGACGGGGGUCCGCACAAGCGUGGAGCAUGUGGUUUAAUUUGAAGCAACGCGCAGAACCUUACCAACCCUUGACAUACCCCGGACCGGCCUGGAGACAGGUCUUCCACUUCGGUGGCCGGGUGACAGGUGCUGCAUGGCUGUCGUCAGCUCGUGUCGUGAGAUGUUCGGUUAAGUCCGGCAACGAGCGCAACCCACGUCCCCAGUUGCCAGCAUUCAGUUGGGCACUUUGUGGAAACGGCCGGUGAUAAGCCGGAGGAAGGUGUGGAUGACGUCAAGUCCUCAUGGCCCUUACGGGUUGGGCUACACACGUGCUACAAUGGUGGUGACAGUGGGUUAAUCCCCAAAAGCCAUCUCAGUUCGGAUUGUCCUCUGCAACUCGAGGGCAUGAAGUUGGAAUCGCUAGUAAUCGCGGAACAGCACGCCGCGGUGAAUACGUUUCCGGGCCUUGUACACACCGCCCGUCACACCAUGGGAGUUGGGUAUACCCCGACGGCCGUGCGCUAACCCUUAUCGGGAGGCAGCGG